GCAGAUACAGCAAAUAUCCCAUAGCAUCUUCCUGAACCCCCAAGGUCAGACCCAGACGGAAGUGGUGCCAAGACAGGACUUUUUGAACAAGGUGCCCAAUACAGAGGCAGAAGUGUUUGUCAGUGUCCAAGGGGACAUCCUUGGUGAGACAAUCCUGGGCACCCUGACACCUAG